rnacentral:rRNA from 1 species
GUGGGGAAUCUUAGACAAUGGGGGAAACCCUGAUCUAGCCAUGCCGCGUGAGCGAUGAAGGCCUUAGGGUUGUAAAGCUCUUCCAGCUGGGAAGAUAAUGACGGUACCAGCAGAAGAAGCCCCGGCUAACUCCGUGCCAGCAGCCGCGGUAAUACGGAGGGGGCUAGCGUUGUCCGGAAUUACUGGGCGUAAAGCGCACGUAGGCGGAUCAGAAAGUCAGAGGUGAAAUCCCAGGGCUCAACCUUGGAACUGCCUUUGAAACUCCUGGUCUUGAGGUCGAGAGAGGUGAGUGGAAUUCCUAGUGUAGAGGUGAAAUUCGUAGAUAUUCGGAGGAACACCAGUGGCGAAGGCGGCUCACUGGCUCGAUACUGACGCUGAGGUGCGAAAGCGUGGGGAGCAAACAGGAUUAGAAACCCUGGUAGUCC